rnacentral:rRNA from 1 species
CCUACGGGCGGCAGCAGUGGGGAAUAUUGGGCAAUGGGCGCAAGCCUGACCGAGCAACGCCGCGUGAAGGAAGAAGGCUUUCGGGUUGUAAACUUCUUUUGUCAGGGACGAAGCAAGUGACGGUACCUGACGCAUAAGCCACGGCUAACUACGUGCCAGCAGCCGCGGUAAUACGUAGGUGGCAGGCGUUAUCCGGAGUUACUGGGUGUAAAGGGCGUGUAGGCGGGGAAGAAAGGCAGAUGGGAAAACCACGGGGUCAACCUGUAGCCUGCAUUGGAAACUGUUUUUCUUGAGUGCUGGAGAGGCAAGCGGAAUUCCGUGUGUAGCGGUGAAAUGCGCAGAUAUACGGAGGAACACCAGUGGCGAAGGCGGAUUGCUGGACAGUAACUGACGCUGAGGCGCGAAAGCGUGGGGAGCAAACAGGAUUAGAUACCCCUGUAGUC